rnacentral:rRNA from 1 species
AUUGAACGCUGGCGGCAUGCUUUACACAUGCAAGUCGAACGGUAACAGGCCGCAAGGUGCUGACGAGUGGCGAACGGGUGAGUAAUGCAUCGGAACGUGCCCAGUCGUGGGGGAUAACGCAGCGAAAGCUGCGCUAAUACCGCACACGAUCUGUGGAUGAAAGCGGGGGACCGUAAGGCCUCGCGCGAUUGGAGCGGCCGAUGUCAGAUUAGGGAGUUGGUGGGGUAAAGGCUCACCAAGCCGACGAUCUGUAGCUGGUCUGAGAGGACGACCCGCCACACUGGGACUGAGACACGGCCCAGACUCCUACGGGAGGCAGCAGUGGGGAAUUUUGGACAAUGGGGGCAACCCUGAUCCAGCAAUGCCGCGUGCAGGAAGAAGGCCUUCGGGUUGUAAACUGCUUUUGUACGGAACAAAACGGCUCUGGUUAAUACCUGGGGCUAAUGACGGUACCGUAAGAAUAAGCACCGGCUAACUACGUGCCAGCAGCCGCGGUAACAC